UGUGUGUGAUGUGGUGGUGGUUUGUGUGUGCGUGUGUAUUUACACCCUUAUCAGUGAAUGGCCGUGUUCCCACGACACCCACACAGCCAACUACUUUCCACCCUGUGCAUCAUGCCAGCUCAGCUUGUGCGGGUAGUUCUUGGUCCAGUGCAUUGGCAAACCUGCAGAGCUCC